GAUGAACGCUGGCGGCGUGCCUAAUACAUGCAAGUCGAGCGAACAGGCGAGGAGCUUGCUCCUCUGACGUUAGCGGCGGACGGGUGAGUAACACGUGGAUAACCUACCUAUAAGACUGGGAUAACUUCGGGAAACCGGAGCUAAUACCGGAUAAUAUAUUGAACCGCAUGGUUCAAUAGUGAAAGACGGUUUUGCUGUCACUUAUAGAUGGAUCCGCGCCGCAUUAGCUAGUUGGUAAGGUAACGGCUUACCAAGGCAACGAUGCGUAGCCGACCUGAGAGGGUGAUCGGCCACACUGGAGCUGAGACACGGUCCAGACUCCUACGGGAGGCAGCAGUAGGGAAUCUUCCGCAAUGGGCGAAAGCUUGACGGAGCAACGCCGCGUGAGUGAUGAAGGUCUUCGGAUCGUAAAACUCUGUUAUUAGGGAAGAACAAAUGUGUAAGUAACUAUGCACGUCUUGACGGUACCUAAUCAGAAAGCCACGGCUAACUACGUG
rnacentral:rRNA from 1 species